CAAACUGUGAAUUAAAAGCCAUGUAUUUUAUUGUCCAUAGGAUGGCAGCAGACAACAGCCUCAGAAAUGAAGCUGGUUGCUUCUAGCCCUGCGUAACGGAUGGACAGUGGCGUCAAUAGUGAUAGAAAUGUCCAGUGUAGGAGAGUGCCCUGUGGUUCCAUAAUCUGAUUAAAGUAGGACAUGCUCCUCUUCUGCUCUGCCUCCCAGUCCAGCUGCAGUGUCCGCACCUUGAGCUGCAGCUGCUCACACUGGGCCUCCAACUGCACACACAGCACACAGCGCUCUCAAGCUCCCCCUGCAGUCUGAGCACGGUACUGCACAGCUCCUGCCUCUGCUCAGCUGCCUCUCUGCGGUCCUGC